AAAUAGAGGCCAGGACUCCUGGCUCCCCGUCCAGACUCUGAGGACCCAGGAGCCUCCAUGGGUACACUCAGAGGCCACACUAGAUGCAAAAAGAACCAUUUACAGAGAAGUGAGAGGUUCUCAAAGGCUCAACCAAAUGCCUCUGCCAGGAGAAUCUUUCAGAGUGUCCUGGAACAUUGGAAAUAGGCUUAAAGCUUAAAUGAUGAAUCAGAAGAGUUAUGCUGUAUUCUAAUGCUGCCACUAGGGCCACACAGGGUGCCAACAUCCAAUCUCAAGAUCUUCGGGAAAUAUGCUCACCCUCCAAAAUACUUACAGAUGUGUCUCCUCUUUUUUGUAAAAUAAAUGCUCUUCUUAUAUUUGGUGUUUCCUUGGUAUGGCCACAAGAUUAUUUAGUAUGACAUAUUUAAUGGUGAAGAUAAAGGGUCUUUAAUGGCUUCAGAAGUGCCCUGGGCUGAAACUUGAUCUGAGAAGGUUAUUAUCAGAACUGUGUUCCAAGAGAAAGCAGUGUGCUAGCUCUACAUGUAUACAUGAGUUGCCAUCAACAUGAAUUCAAUUACAAUGAAGAUAAUUUGGAGUAGACAAUUGUAUUUUGGUUGCAUGACAUCCAUUUUAU